rnacentral:rRNA from 1 species
UACGGAGGGUGCAAGCGUUAUCCGGAUUCACUGGGUUUAAAGGGUGCGUAGGUGGGCAGUUAAGUCAGUGGUGAAAUCUCCGGGCUCAACCCGGAAACUGCCAUUGAUACUAUCUGUCUUGAAUAUCGUGGAGGUAAGCGGAAUAUGUCAUGUAGCGGUGAAAUGCUCAGAUAUGACAUAGAACACCAAUUGCGAAGGCAGCUUACUACCCGAAUAUUGACACUGAGGCACGAAAGCGUGGGGAUCAAACAGG